CUCCCUCCCUCCCCGUUUGGCUUCACAACUUUUCAUUAUUUUUUUCCCCGAGAGAAGAGUGAUGACAGUCUUAAAUAAGACAUAACGGGUGUAAACUCGGAAAAAGCGACUGAUGUUCAGCCGAUUGAGGCGCGCUGCAGCUUGCGGAGGCUCGGGGACGGAUAGAGCCGGAGAGGAGAGCGAGUGACCAGGAACCAAGGAGGAACCAUGAACACAGCAUCUACCAGCAAGUAACUUUCAGAGAAAUUGUCAAGUAAAGAAGCUUUCAUUAUUUCAACCAUAUAUAGCUGAUGGAGUACAGAAAAAUAAGACAGUGUUUCUUCAGAACCCUGCUGCAUAAAACAUAGAGCUACAUCACAUCACACAACAUACAGAACACAAAGCUAAGGACUAAAGUAAUUUUCCUAAAGUAUUACUAAAGUCAUAAAAGUCCUAGCCACAUAAAAUGCAUUAUUUGAAACCCAGUGCAAGAAGUGGAGACAAAAGACAGUGUAGGACAGAUAAAUUGGCUUUCAAAAAUGUUAAGAAAUGUCUGUAAUUAACUUAUAGCUAGUUCAUAUUACCAAAUAGAAUUACUGCUAUAUUUAUUAAAAAUAAAAAGUGCGUGU